AUUGAACGCUGGCGGCGUGCCUUACACAUGCAAGUCGAACGGCAGCGCGGGGCAACCUGGCGGCGAGUGGCGAACGGGUGAGUAAAAUAUCGGAACAUACCCUAGAGUGGGGGAUAACGUAGCGAAAGUUACGCUAAUACCGCAUACGCACUAAGGUGGAAAGUGGGGGAUCUUCGGACCUCAUGCUCAUGGAGUGGCCGAUAUCUGAUUAGCUAGUUGGUGAGGUAAAGGCUCACCAAGGCGACGAUCAGUAGCUGGUUUGAGAGAACGACCAGCCACACUGGAACUGAGACACGGUCCAGACUCCUACGGGAGGCAGCAGUGGGGAAUUUUGGACAAUGGGGGGCAACCCUGAUCCAGCAAUGCCGCGUGAGUGAAGAAGGCCUCGGUUGUAAG
rnacentral:rRNA from 1 species